CUUCCCGAGCAAUUUUUCAAUGUAACUUUAUUCCAGCUCAUGGAACCCAUCCAGUUCCACACCGCCCCCAAGCCCGGAGAGCCACGCACCACCACCACCGCAGUCGGAACCGGAACACCCGGCCAAAUUUAUCUACUGAAAAAAAAAUUCAUAAAUUAAUUUCCAAGCACGAGCGGUGCCACACCCUAGCAGAGAAGCCCCCAGGAAGAAGAGGAGGCAGCGAAAAGUCCGAGGGCUCCCAGCAUGUGCUACCAUAAAAGGUCCGCAGAUAAAGCCGCCCCACGGCUCCAGCGGGAUCGGUUUUCCCCCGGUGAGCAAUGACUUCUGUCUUCAGUGACUGAUACAUUGCAAGACCAAGGUGAAGAGCACAACCAAUGUUCCAGCUGACCUCACUUUCCAAAACUCAUAAUUCCUUCAAAUAAACAUCAUUGAACACAGGCAGGCAGUGGAGUGACAGAAUUCAAACACAAUCCUGCAUUACACCAUAACAGCCCAAACGCUUUCCAAAGGAAAAGGUGAUGCUCGGCAGCAGUUUAAUGAAUUGUUUUGACCCAGUGGAACACACCGUGUCCCCUCCUGGUAAUGAGACACUCGGCAGAAAGUGUCACAUGGCAGGAACAAUGGCAGCAGGCUGUCACUACGGCCACAAAGCCCCUUCACCUCGGAGCAAUCUCUCCCCAGACAAUGCAGGGGAAGAUCAGCCCUCGAGAUGAGUUUGUCUCCUGAGAUCUCUGAGACUCCCUGCAGAAUUUCCUCUCCCUGAUGCACCCAUGGAUGUGUCCACAGCAGCUGUGGUGUCACUGCAUGCCCUGAUGGUCCCAGGGACACAGGGCAGGACUGAAACCCAGCCAAAGAAUCAAAGAAAAACAGUGCUAAAAUCAGAUUAUUCUUCUUGCCAUCAUGAAGCUUUCCAGGAAAUUCGCUUUCCAGCUGAGGGAAGUGGUAGUGCUCUAUAGUGCUCGGUGAGGAAGUACAAAAUCAGCUGCAAUAUCAGCAAGGUUUUCUUUUUCUUCAAAUGAGACGGUAUUAAACAUUAGAAACAUUACACGUUGGGAUCUUUAGCUUGUCAGAGUGACCCCAAGGAAAGUUCCACAGUCUCUUUUCCCAGCCCGGCGCUCCAAGAAGGAGUCAGGGCUCUUCAUUUCUCAGUCUCAAGGUUGUUUAUUGUAUCUUAUCUAUAAAAAAUUUUCUCCUGCCUUGCUGAGGUCCAUCCUACAGGACAGUUCAGGCACUCUGCCUGCCCCCAGGGCAGUGUUAUGUCUUUAUACUAAAAACUACAUGUACAAUGUUUACAAUCACUUUCCAACACCUAUCACCUAUGUUAGACAGUGAGCUUCUACUCUAAACCUAUCUAAAAGUGCCAGCACCACAGCAAAAGAUGGAGGCCAAGAAGAAGGAGAAAGGCUGGACAUGCCCAAAUUCCUCCAUCUUGCCCCCUGAACCCCCAUUCUAAAAACCCCAAAAUCUACUUUUUCACCUUGUGAUAAAUUCACUAUCAUUCUACUUAAUUUGUCAUGGCUUUCAGAUCAUGAUCUAAGGUUGGAAAUUGGCUCCAUGGGUCAUAAUCAGAACCACAGGGGCAUUUAUGAGCUCUGUGCCAGGGUCUCUGAGAUCCCUGGCAGGGGUCUGGGCUGCUCAGGACAGCCAGAGGGAUGUCCUGGGUUCCGACAAUUAUAUACAUUUAACAUUAUUAAAUUCAGCCAGGGCACACACAGGAUUCCAUCCCCUGCUGCAAUGGCCUUGGGGAGCUUGUCAGCCAGGAGCAAACUCAUCUUUCACAGACUAAAACCCAAAGGUAUCACUCAGUCCUGUGCAUUCCCCACUUUUCUCUUCCAGCCAACGUUCUGGUUUGUC